CCUACGGGUGGCAGCAGUGGGGAAUAUUGCACAAUGGGCGCAAGCCUGAUGCAGCCAUGCCGCGUGUGUGAAGAAGGCCUUCGGGUUGUAAAGCACUUUCAGCGGGGAGGAAGGCGUUAAGGUUAAUAACCUUGGCGAUUGACGUUACCCGCAGAAGAAGCACCGGCUAACUCCGUGCCAGCAGCCGCGGUAAUACGGAGGGUGCAAGCGUCAAUCGGAAUUACUGGGCGUAAAGCGCACGCAGGCGGUCUGUCAAGUCGGAUGUGAAAUCCCCGGGCUCAACCUGGGAACUGCAUUCGAAACUGGCAGGCUAGAGUCUUGUAGAGGGGGGUAGAAUUCCAGGUGUAGCGGUGAAAUGCGUAGAGAUCUGGAGGAAUACCGGUGGCGAAGGCGGCCCCCUGGACAAAGACUGACGCUCAGGUGCGAAAGCGUGGGGAGCAAACAGGAUUAGAUACCCCGGUAGUC
rnacentral:rRNA from 1 species